GACGGAGGGGGCAUGCGUUGUCCGGAAUCACUGGGCGUAAAGCGCGUGUAGGCGGUCGUGUGCGUCGGUGCUGAAAGCGCCCGGCUUAACCGGGCGAGGCGUGCCGAUACGAUGCGCCUGGAGGCAGGAAGAGGGCGGCUGAAUUCCGGGUGUAGCGGUGAAAUGCGUAGAGCUCCGGAGGAACGCCGGUGGGGGGGCCGGCCGCCUGGGCCUGACCUGACGCUGAGACGCGACAGCGUGGGGAGCAAACCGG
rnacentral:rRNA from 1 species